CAUAACUGAAUUAGUGAAAUUUGCCAUCCUGAUUAGCUAUUUUCCACUUGUUACUUUAGAAUUAUCAAGGCCUUGGAGAGGAGAAGGAAGAAGAAAGGCACAAAUGCUUCAGAUUGCUAUCCUUUGACACUAAGGAAAUGAAUUAGUAAAUAGAGAUGAUGAGCUCUUGGACAGAAUAAAAGAUCAUGGUUGCUUUCAAAAGAAAUGUCAGAUUGCUAAAGAAAGAAUAUAUUAACCAGACUAAAGCCUAUGUCUUCAAACUUUCUUUGGCUUAUUAGAGGCCUAAAGACUAUGAUAAUUAUGAGACAAAUGACCUUCUUUGUGUAGCAGUUGUCAAAGGCCAUCUGUAAGUCUGAAGGGAAGAAAAGAAGGAACAUAUCAAAUGUCUGAAUUUAAAGUGAGAACAAAUGGCAUAUGAAUUUGUGCUAUACUUCUAAGAGAAUAAUCCAAUAUUCA
rnacentral:lncRNA from 1 species